GCCUCGGCGCUUCGGCUUCGGCCAUCUUGGCCUUGUCAUGCAUCUUGGCUUUGGCCACCUUGCCGUGCGUGAUCGUUGUUUGUUUUUAUUUGUGCUUUUUAAGAAUAUUUUUUUAAUUCGGAUACUUUUAUAAUAACUUUAAUAGUAUUAUUAACAUAGUGCAUAAAAUCAGUUGGAGUAGCAGAAGCAAUGUAGAUAAAAAAUCUGCAGGAAUAGCGUUUCAAAGCUUUCCAGAAGAUCCUGCGAAGAAGGCAUGAAGUAUUGAUCAGAUUUGUUAAUAGAGCAGUGUGUUCAAAACAUUUUUAGAAAAAGAUAUUGACAGAACUUCACUUUCAACUGUUCGUUUGAGAGACCGUGCUGUUCCAAUAGCUUAUAUCACACAGAAUCAGCUGAGAGAAGUGGUCUACAAAAAACCAGGAAGGAAAUGGAAUAUGUGGCUAUGAAAGGCAAAAGAAAGGUUUACAAAGCAAAUGUGACACAUUUUUUUAUAGGAAUAUCAGUAAAUUACAUUAAAAAAAUGUAUGAAAAGAUUUUUUGCAAUAAAAAUGUUUAUAUUUAUCAAGGAUGUAUUAUUUGGUAUGGCCACAUAUCGUCAGUGAUGUGACAAUACCUCCUAUCUGUUUUUUCAUGAGAU